rnacentral:rRNA from 1 species
CGUGUAGGCGGUUUUGUAAGUCUGAUGUGAAAGCCCCGGGCUCAACCUGGGAAGUGCAUUGGAAACUGCAAGACUUGAGUACGGGAGAGGGCAGUGGAAUUCCUAGUGUAGGAGUGAAAUCCGUAGAUAUUAGGAGGAACACCGGUGGCGAAGGCGGCUGCCUGGACCGAUACUGACGCUGAGACGCGAAAGCGUGGGGAGCAAACA